rnacentral:rRNA from 1 species
CGGCGAGUGAAGCAGGAAUAGCCCAGCACCGAAUCCUCUCUGCCCUUGCGUGGAGCGGGAAAUGUGGUGUUAGGGAGGCGAGCAUUGCUUGCGUGGUUUUGUCUCGGCGCCCAGGUCCUCGUGAUCGUGGCUUUUCGCCCCAUCGAGGGUGUAAGGCCCGUGGUGGCGCCGGACCCGCGUAGCCCGCGAGCCUCCUUGGAGUCGGGUUGCUUGAGAUCGCAGCCCAAAGUGGGUGGUAAACUCCAUCUAAGGCUAAAUACUGGACACGAGUCCGAUAGUAGACAAGUACCGCGAGGGAAAGUUGAAAAGAACUUUGAAGAGAGAGUUCAAUAGUACGUGAAACCGCACAGAGUCAAACGGGUGGAGCCGUAAUGUCGCUCGUCCCGGGGCAUUCAGCUCGUUUUCCCGCAGCCGGGCCUACCUGGAUUGGCGUUGCGCACCCGCACUGUCGGGAGCGCUGCCGCCGGGGUUAUGGACAAGCCGGUGGUGGGACGGGUGCACUUGCUCCGGUAUGUCGAGAGCCACGACCGGUCUCUUCGCAGGCUGUGUGGACUCCGUUUGGUCGGGUUAACGGCGGUUCUAACCUGCUCACCACUCGUGGAGGGCUAAUUUGGACUGCUCCGACCGGGAGGGAUACUGGCCUGGAGAUCGAGGAACGCAGCCUUUUCCGGGAGUCUCCGUGUAAUUCUCGAGCCGUGUGCCCUUGCCGCUCCUCGCGGGCAGGCAAUACGGGCGCGAGGACGCAUCGGGAUGGUAUGCGGAUGGCGACCGGAGAUACCAGUGUUGCUUGUCGGUGGCAGAUAAGGUCGGUACUCCACCCGACCCGUCUUGAAACACGGACCAAGGAGUCUAGCAUGUGCGCGAGUCAAUGGGAUUCGACGAAACCCUACGGUGCAAUGAAAGUGAAAGCUUUUCAAUAAGCCUAGGCAGGAUGCUUCGUGUAAAAAGCGGAGCCGCACUGCCGGCCCGUCCYGAUCGCUUUUGACGAUAGGGCGGAGCAAGAGCGCACWCGCUGGGACCCGAAAGAUGGUGAACUAUGCUUGAGCAGGACGAAGUCAGGGGAAACU